rnacentral:rRNA from 1 species
AUUGAACGCUGGCGGCAUGCUUUACACAUGCAAGUCGAACGGACUUUCAGGGCUUGCUCUGAAAGUUAGUGGCGGACGGCUGAGUAACGCGUGGGUGACCUACCCCGAAGUGGGGAAUAACUGCCCGAAAGGGUGGCUAAUACCGCAUACGAUCGUUAAUUCAUUUUGAUGAUCAAAGCAGCAAUGCGCUUUGGGAGGGGCCUGCAUCCGAUUAGCUAGUUGGUGAGGUAACGGCUCACCAAGGCGACGAUGCGUAGCCGACCUGAGAGGGUGAUCGGCCACACUGGGACUGAGACACGGCCCAGACUCCUACGGGAGGCAGCAGUAGGGAAUCUUCCGCAAUGGACGAAAGUCUGACGGAGCAACGCCGCGUGAGCGAUGAAGGCCUUCGGGUCGUAAAGCUCUGUUGUUAGGGAAGAACAAGUAUCGGAGUAACUGCCGGUACCUUGACGGUACCUAACCAGAAAGCCACGGCUAACUACGUGCCAGCAGCCGCAGUAACAC